rnacentral:rRNA from 1 species
CGCGUAGGCGGUUUGUUUAGUUAGGGCGUGAAAUUCCUGGGCUUAACCUGGGGACUGCGCUUAAUACAGGCAGACUUGAGUUCGGAAGAGGGUCGUGGAAUUCCCAGUGUAGAGGUGAAAUUCGUAGAUAUUGGGAAGAACACCGGUGGCGAAGGCGGCGACCUGGUCCGAUACUGACGCUGAGGCGCGAAAGCGUGGGGAGCAAACA